UACAGAGGGUGCAAACGUUGCUCGGAAUCAUUGGGCGUAAAGCGCACGUAGGCGGCCUGUUAAGUCGGGUGUGAAAGCCCUGGGCUCAACCCAGGAAGUGCAUCCGAUACUGGCGGGCUUGAAUCCGGGAGAGGGAUGUGGAAUUCCAGGUGUAGCGGUGAAAUGCGUAGAUAUCUGGAGGAACACCGGUGGCGAAGGCGGCAUCCUGGACCGGUAUUGACGCUGAGGCGCGAAAGCUAGGGGAGCAAACGGG
rnacentral:rRNA from 1 species